AGGGAAAGGCGAAAAGAACCCCGGCGAGGGGAGUGAAAAAGAACCUGAAACCGUGUACGUACAAGCAGUGGGAGCACGCUUAGGCGUGUGACUGCGUACCUUUUGUAUAAUGGGUCAGCGACUUAUAUUCUGUAGCAAGGUUAACCGAAUAGGGGAGCCGAAGGGAAACCGAGUCUUAACUGGGCGUUAAGUUGCAGGGUAUAGACCCGAAACCCGGUGAUCUAGCCAUGGGCAGGUUGAAGGUUGGGUAACACUAACUGGAGGACCGAACCGACUAAUGUUGAAAAAUUAGCGGAUGACUUGUGGCUGGGGGUGAAAGGCCAAUCAAACCGGGAGAUAGCUGGUUCUCCCCGAAAGCUAUUUAGGUAGCGCCUCGUGAAUUCAUCUCCGGGGGUAGAGCACUGUUUCGGCAAGGGGGUCAUCCCGACUUACCAACCCGAUGCAAACUGCGAAUACCGGAGAAUGUUAUCACGGGAGACACACGGCGGGUGCUAACGUCCGUCGUGAAGAGGGAAACAACCCAGACCGCCAGCUAAGGUCCCAAAGUCAUGGUUAAGUGGGAAACGAUGUGGGAAGGCCCAGACAGCCAGGAUGUUGGCUUAGAAGCAGCCAUCAUUUAAAGAAAGCGUAAUAGCUCACUGGUCGAGUCGGCCUGCGCGGAAGAUGUAACGGGGCUAAACCAUGCAC
rnacentral:rRNA from 1 species